rnacentral:lncRNA from 1 species
CCUAGUGGUCUGCAUACUUGUUGACUCGCCAAAGUGCAGUGAGAAGUCCAGGAAAGCUUCGCUCUAAAGCUUUCUUUGCAGCCAUGCUAAACCGGCGAUAAACCCUCGGUGGUCGCAACUCAAGGAACAACAUAGAAGCUCGAGGAAAACCACAGCAAGGCCUUCAAUUAAAAAUUACAUCAUCGCUUUGAGAUGAAAUUGGACAACAGUCCUUUGGCAGUCUUGGCAUCGAUUAUGUCGUUGAUGGCAAACGGUAUGUAACGGACGUUUUGCUAUCUCAUAACGAUAUAUUAUAUACAUGUAAAACACCGGCCUUUGUUGAUAAUCUAGUUUAGAAAACUUACGUCUUCACUUUCAACCACUCACCGAAAAAUGGCGAUCGUACCAAACAAUAUUGUCACGAUCAAUAGCCGACAGGACGACAGAGGACAAAGAAGCGAGCAGCACGAGCUGCAGCUGUGGGCUCU